ensembl:lncRNA
UGAGAGGGCACACAUAGAGAAGUCAGAGAAGAAAUAAAGGCAUGAUUCGCUGUGACUGUUGAAUACCACUGCAACUUCACAUAUUCUGCAUUUCCUCAGAUCAGGUUAGGCAUCUAGAAAAAAGUGAGUAUGGAUUCAGGUUCUACACCUAGAGGGAAGAAAAAAAAAAAAAAAAGAAAGAAAAGACAAAACUGAGAAGUAGCUCAGGUGUCCAAAAAUAAGCCAUGAGACAUAUUUUAGAUGUUUUUGAUGUUUCAAGAUAUCUUCACAGAUCUGAAGAAUAUGCCAAAAGAUCUACAGGAUUAAUUACCUUCUGGAGUGCCAGCUAGAGGUUAGGUUGGGCAUCCAAAACGACAUUAGCUGCCUGCUGUAGGCAACCAAAUGCCACUGUGAAACUGCUGACAUUCAGCAAGGAUAAAGAUACAGAAGAACAAAGCAAAGUCUGAAGAGAGUUUCAAGGGAAAAAAAGCUCACCUGUUGUGGAGACAUGUCAUUUUAAAGUAGUUUUCUGUGUCUUGCCAUCUGGAAGGUGCUCAACGGCUAUUCAAGGAUUCUAUCUAAGUCACAUUAGAUAGAAGCCAGUUUACCACCUGCUGCACAGAACCCCAUGAUGUAUUUACAAUCUAUUUCUUUUAGAAAAUGAGACUGCACCUUCAGACACAUAAAAAUCUACUGCCUUAAAAAGAUUUUUUUUUUCUGUCAAAAUUUUUG